UUAUUUUCUUGAAAAUUUUGUAUGAAAAAGAUUCAUUCUAUAUUUUUGACUUUACAUGAAAAAUCAUCUUCCUGAUUAUAUCACAAUUUCUGGAACAUUCUUGGAAUAUACACUACUCUAAUAUUCUUUGCUAAAGACCAUGUUUCAAUAUUCUAUUUGUACUAAAUAAAUUUGUUACAUCUAAAAUAUAUGUAAUAUAAACUAUAUUUUCAGUAGCAAAAAGUGUAAAUAGUAGAAUGCAGCUAAAAUAUAAUAAAACAACUGUAUUAAUAAUAUCGAUUAUCUUACAUUCUAUGAAAUUGUAUUUUAUUAUAUUAUUGAAUAUAUUUUAUUAUAUUUAGGCUAAAACAACCAAGAAAAUUGUGCUAAGGAUGGAAUGUACAGAGUGCAAGUAUAGGAAACAAAUUCCAUUGAAACGGUGCAAACAUUUUGAAUUGGGUGGUGACAAGAAGAGGAAGGGUCAAAUGAUUCAAUUCUAAGCUACUCAUUCAAUAUUUCACCUUCUGCAUUCUGUAUUUUAAAAAUAAAUAAAUCUAUAGAGAUUUGUA